GAAAGUCUAAGAUUCAAAUUGUAUAAAUUGUGUCUAAUAGAUAAUUUCACUGGAAACCAACAUAUUAACAUAACAACAUAACAACAUGCAAUUACAAAUGGAUUAAAUAUAUUCCACUGGAAAACAACAGCAUUUGAAAGCAUGAUCUGAGAUGAUGUUCCAACAUCAGUUGCAGUAAGUAGUGGUGACCCUUGUUAAGGACUGCUAGCAGGAGUAACAGCUGGACCUCUAAUUAUUCCUCCAUGUCCACUGUUGUCUUUCAAGUUUCAAUGGACAACCCAUGUUCAGUUCCAUCUUAGGUGAACUGUUCAAAUUCAAGCGCAGAAUCUUUGGCCUAGGCCACUUCAUCAUUACAAUAUUGCAAUGCAGCUGCUCUAUGCGGUAUUUCUUUUCAUGCUGGGAAAACUUCAUAGAUGUAUCAAGCAACAAAGCAGCCUUUAACAAAGAAAGUUAAAAAUUACUUGUCCAAUAUAACCCAGCUUGACUACACCUCCACAUGAAGAACCAGAAAGAAUCUUCACUCUGAUUUUUAUCUGUGUAAAUUGUUUAACAAUCUAGGAAAGCCGUAAAGAAAGAAAGAAAAUACGCCGUGCAUGGGGAGCCUGCGAACCUUGGAAAAUCUCUGGCGACAAAUUGGGCAUCGAGACUCAUGUUUAGCCCAUUCCAUGAUGCAGAAGAUGCGAUCGAAACCCUCGCUCUGCGUAGCAAAUCCCCCAACAAAUGCUCUGUUCGUCGUCCUUAUCCUCCUAUACAUGGGAUUUCGCUCUCUUAUUUGGAGAACUUAACGACACGGACG
rnacentral:lncRNA from 1 species